GUAAAGCAAAGGAUAAUGUUAAACUGUUAGUCUCUCUUGGCUUUACAGAAAAGAUUUGCUGAGAUAUAUUACUCUAAAACUUUUAUGAAAAGCUAUCUUUCAAAUGUACCAACCUGGUUUACCAAACUUUGAGACAACUUAUGAAAAGGACCCCUUUGGAUUAAAAUUUAAAUCACAACACUUAAGUACAGUACAUGGGUACCAGUUACCGAAAGAUGAUAAACAGAAGACUAGUACAGAAAGAUUUAUCACCCACAAGCAUUGUGAAUGCACCUGGGAUUCAAAACUAAUUUUGACGAAAGCCCCAUGGCCUGUUAGAUCUGCUUCAUAUACAAGACAUAGAAGGCAGCGUGAUGCAUACAGUGCAUUUAUGGAUCGUGUGGAAGAAAAGUUUACAAAGAUAUGCAAGAGCAGAUAGCUGAUGGACCAAAACAGCAUAGGGCUUCCUGAACUCUGGCCUGAAUGUUCAUCUCCCGUGCAUUUCCCAGUGAGAACAUUGAUGAAUUCUGGCACCUUCCUGGAUUCUACAGAAAUCUGCACUCUCCCAGAGGCAUGAGAAAGUGCUAAAACAACAAAUGAAAGUUGCAUAAUUUGAAAUUCCCUUGUUACCACAGGGAUCAGAAUCCAAUCAUAAGGCUUUUGAUUUAGUUUGUGAAAGUUAGAUCUUGCAACUAUGAGUGGAAAUGCUGAUAAUGUGCUUUCUGUUAAUGUCCAAAGUUAAAGAUGCUCUAGUCUCAGUUUUUUCUAAUACACUUUAAGAAGCUUCUCUGAGACACUCAAGUAUAUCAAAAGAGAGAAGAUCUCCAAGUAACAGAAAUAAUAAAUGUCCUUCUUAAAGAACACCAGGCUUGGAGAAUUUAUAGUUCCAACUAGAAGGAAAGGUCUGUCUUUUAACAUGUUAAAAUAAUUUUCUAAAUUUUUGUUUAAAUAUUUUGAGGGAAAGAAAACAAAUGACUUGAAACUUCUUUGCUUCUGAUCAAGAUUUGAUGAUUAUAAUUGAAAAUUAAUAAAAGGGGAGGGUAGGAUUUAAUGCUAUUGCCAGUUUUAUCAAAUGGAUUAUCCUAUCACCUUUCCAAUUUCACUAUGAAAACUACUGAAAUAAAGGCAAGUACGUAUUUAAUAGCAUUGUUGACAUAAGCAACAUUAAGUGGAAAGAUGAGGCAAUGAAAUUAAAUCAUUUCCCAAAGGAUAUUUUGCAUAAUUUAAGUUCCCUGGAAUUUUAAUGUGUAAUUCUUGAAAAGAAAUGUGCUCUUUAGAAAAAGAAAUGCAGCAAAUACUGGAUUAAAUAAAUCAGAUACCUGAAUUUACUCAGGUUAUGCGAGUAGAAAGGCUGAAAUGCCCCAGGACUUAGUCCUAGGCCUGAUCUCUUUCUUAUCUAUAUACACUCUCUUGGUAAUCUCAUCGUUUUAUUUUUUUUUUUUUUCUUUUAGAGACAGAGUCUCUCUUUCUUGCCCAGGCUGGAGUGCAGUGACACAGUCAUGGCCCACUGUAAACUCCUGCAGUGACACAGUCAUGGCCCACUGUAAACUCCUGGCUUUGAUUCUCCCACCUCAGCCUCCUCCUAAUGUCAUUCAUUCUUAUUGGUUUAAAUGUCACCAAUAACACGUUCACACCCAAGACUUCCUAAUAUAUAUACCCAGCACUGAAAUAUCUUCUGAACGCCAGACUCUUAGACGCUCACCUAGGACAACUUCCUUGACAUCUCCCCGUGAUCUCUUUUUAGACAUUCUCUCAAACUCACCAGAUCCAAAAUUUAACCCUGAUAUUAUUUGCCAAUUCCUGCACAGUCUUGUUUAUCUCAGUUAAUAGCAAUUCCAUUCUUGUACUUGCUAAGGCAAAAAAUAAAAAUAAAAUGGAGACACCCUUUUUUUCAUUUUUUAUCUUACAGCCUAUAAGCUGUUAUAUCAUGAGCCCAACAAGUUUCUGCUGCCUCCAGUAAAUACACCAGUCCAAACCCUAUCAUCUCUUGCUUUAAUUAUUACAAUAGUCUCCAAUCUACAUGUCCACUGGAGGUAACACCCACCUCAGUCUAUCCUCAACACAACAGCAGACUUGUCUGUCUGACUUUUUUUAAUGCAAUUUUUAUCAUAUUACUCUUCUGCUUAGAACCCUCCAAUGUCUUUACAUCUUAAGCCAAAGUUCUUCUAAUGCCCUUCAUUAUGUAGUCCUGGUUAUUUCUUUGUGUUCAUCUCCAACUACCCUUUUCCAAUUACUGGGCCUCUCCAAAUAAUAGAGAAACCUCAUGAAGGAAGGGAUUUUGUCAUGUGUUUGCUGUUGUGUCCCAGUGCCAAGGAGAGUAGCUGAUGUACAGUAGAUGCUUAUAAAUAGUUUUCAAUGAAUGACUUCACUCCAAUAGUCUGAGAGCUGUAUAAAAUAUAGAUAACUUAGUUAUUGAUUCCCACUCUGGGGAGCCCACAAAAAUCAAAGUCAUCCACUAGCAGUUGAAGAGAACCAAGUUUGAUUUCUAGGUAAGCACUAACUUUUAUUUAUAAAUUAACACCUCUGUGGAGUCAUAUGUACUUCCACUGUUUUGCAUCUGUCAGGAAUGUUAAAAUUUUAAGAUUCUUGUUCAUUGAACUUAAAGUAGAAUUACGACCACAUGAGGUAGAAAUACCACCACAUGAGGUAAAAAAUGAAACUUUUAAGGAAAUGCUUGCGCUUAAAUUAUUGGUAAGUCUAUGUCUUUUCAUCAGAGCCAGACAAAUACCGGCUUAACUUUAAGGCUUGCUGAGAACAUUAAUGAUUAGCUGCUCAAAGCAGCAUGAAAUAAAUAGCCUACAUUAACAUAAAACUAUGAUAUCUAUGCUCACAUCCUUGCAAACAACAGAUAACAGCAAUCUAUAAACUUCCGGUUAUAUUUAUCUUUGUGUAGUUUGUGAAUUCUGGAUUACAAAGUGACUUUCAGAACAAUACUAGAUUAUGUCAUAGCUGGAUUUAGGAAAAUUAUCAUGCUGUUAGUUAACAGAAGAAGGGCAGUAAAAGCCAAGCUAAUUUAACGUUAUUAUAUAUUUGUAAUAUAAUAAGGACUUACCUGCAUCAAAGUAUAUAAUUUUCGGAAAGUCAGACAAUAACUUUCAUGUAUAUUAUUAGUUGAAAAUGAAAUAUUUUAAGCCUUCUAAAAUAUCUAUUAAGCCGGGCACGGUGGCUCACGCCUGUCAUCCCAGCAUUUUGGGAGGCUGAGACAGGCAGAUCACUUGAGGUCAGGAAUUCAAGAGCAGCCUGGCCGACAUGAUGAAACCCAUCUUUACUUAAAAAUACAAAAAUCAGCCGGGCGUAGUGGCCUGCACCUCUAAUCCCAGCUACUCAGGAGGCUGAGGAGGAGAAUUGCUCGAACCUGGGAGAUGGAGGUUGUAAUGAGCCGAGAUCACGCCACUGCACUCCAGCCUGGGCAACAGAGUGAGACUCUGUCUCAAAACAAACAAACAAACAAACAAAAAUCUAUUAAAUCACUAGCCUGAACACAUAGCAAAGAUUUAUAACUCUUCAAUGAGGGAAUCAAGAAAAUAAGAAAGGUGGAUAAAAGGCCAUUUUGAAGUUCUGGAUAUUUGUACACAUGUUUAAAAAAUGUUUUUAUGGGCUUCCUAGGUUAUUUACAAAGCUGCUUAUCUUUCAGGACAAUAAAAUCAUAAGCGAUGGAAUUAUCCUCUCUACCAGAGAGAAAUCAUUUGCAUUCCUACUGGAAUGAAAUCUACCACGUAACAUGUAAUUUUAGAGAGUCAGGACCUUAGUUAAUGGUAAACAGUGAGUCAUACAGAGCUGCAUUCCUUUAAACCACCACCAUCAAAUGGAAGUAUAAUUUAAGCCACUAUGUGAUUUGAAAUUCUCUAGCAGGUACGUUAAAAAAAAAAAAAGUGAAAACAAUUUUAACAAAAAAAUUAUGUAACUCAAUAUAUCAAGAAUAUUCUCAGCCAGGCGCAGUGGUGCACGCCUAUAAUCCCAGCACUUUGGGAGGCUGAGGUGGGUAGAUUUUCUACUAAGAUUCUUUGUUCAUUGCAUUAAAAAUGGAAAUUGUAUUUGUACUCCAAAAUUUUGCACUUAAACCACAUCUCACUUUUGACUAGCCACAUUCCAAGUGCUCAAUAACCACAUAUAGUCAAUGGCUAAAAUAUUGGACAGUGUAGCUCUGAAUAAUUUGAUAUUAAUUGGAUGGGCGUAUUAACCAAUUCCCCAGGUUGAUGUUGAAAGGUCAUGCUGUACUUCAUUGGCCUUAUCUCCAAGUUUUUGGUGAUUUUAAAAAAUCUUUUCAACCACAAAUUUUAGUCUUUUUCAUUGGAUCCCAGGACAUUAGAUGAUAGUAAAAACCUGUGGAAUCUUUCUACAGCAUUAUUUCGUUUAGCAAAAUAAAUGUGUCUUUCAAAAAGUUAUUUUGAAGACAUUUUUGUCAAUCAGGUAUAUUAUGUUGCUUAAACUUUUAGCUAAAGAUUCUUUACAUUAUAAUUGAACUCUUCCAACAAUAAACAUCAUAGCACAGAUAAUAACUAAGAUGAAGAUUAUUGUGAGACAGCUAUUCUUAACUUACAUAUAUUCAUCACCUAAUUUAAUUCUCACAAAAACUCUCUAAAAUAAUGUUACCAUUUUAAAGAUGAGGAGGCUAAGAGAGUUUACAUAACUUGCCCAAGGCCACACAGCUUGUAAAGAAGACCUGGAUAUAAAAUCCAGGCUUAUUAACUACAAAGCCUGAGCUAGUAAGCACUAUGCUAUAUGCAGAGAUUACUUCAACAUAAGCUCUUCCAACCUACAUCUAUUAGAUCACUAAACAUUUGCUACACAAAUUAAUAUUUAAUUUGUAUACAAAUUAAAUAUUAAUUUAUAUAAAAUUGCUAUACAAAUUAAUAUUAAAUUAGGAAGCCGAGGUGGGAGGAUCAUGAGGUUAGAAGUUCGAGACCAGCCUGACCAGCAUGGUGAAACCCUGUCUCUACCAAAAAUAUAAAAAAAUUAGACGGGCAUGGUGGCACACGCCUGUAGUCCCAGCUACUUGGGAAGCUGAGGCAGGCGAACUGCUUGAAUGUGGCAGGCGGAGGUUGCAGUAAGCCGAGAUCACACCACUGCAUUCCAGCCUGGGUGACAGAGCAAGACUCUGUCUCAAAAAUAUAUAUAUAUUAAUAUUAAGGAUUCAGGCCAGGUGCAGUGGCUCACACCUAUAAUCUCAGCACUUCUGGAGGCCAAGGUGAGAGGAUCACUUGAGGGUACAGUUCAAGACCACCCUGGGCAACAUAGCAAGACUCCUUCUCUACAAAAAACUUUAAAAAUUAGCCAGGUGUAGUGGUACACACCUGUAGUCCCAGCUACUGGGGAGGCUGAGGUUGGAUAGCUUGAACCCAGGGGUUUCAAGGCUGCAGUGCGUCAUGAUCGCACCAUUGCACUCCAUCUUGGGUGACAGAGGGAGAUCCCGUCUCUAAAAAAAAAUUCGUCAUAUGAACAAAGGUUUUUCCACUCUUUCUUUACACUAGAUAAAUGAUUUUUCUGUUUUCCAGAAUGAAUAGCAAGAAUUUAUUUUAAAAUGUUUUAUGACUAAUUAUAAAACCUGUCAUCAGUAGUUAAAACAUUACUAAGGGAGAGAAGCGCUAAUAUUAAAAUUUUUGUAGUGGAAUAAAAUUCAGCACUUUUGUUCUCUCAGUACUAUUUUGUAGGUUUGACUUGUAAAUUGCUCUUAUUUGAUAGAUGGAAAACAGAGGGAACUAAUUCUUUUUCUCAUUAUAAAAAAUACAAUUCUGAAGGCCUUUUAAAUUGAAAAGGAAAUAGAAAUUGAAAUAGAAUGGAAGUAGAAAAAGCUCCUUGCUUAAUGGUUUUGAAAGGUAAAAGUCUUCUUGAGGAAAUGUGGCCAAGGGCAAUAAAAUGUGGCCUCAUAACAAUACUUUGACAUUUUUUCUCUUUUCCUAUUUUUGAUUAAACCUGUAUAAAAUAGGGAUUAAUAUUGUUGCAUGAAUAUGUAGUAGGAAUUGCCCGUAGACUUUUCUUUUUCUGGUACUUCCUAAGAUAAAAAAACAUUUUCAAUAGUAAUUCAAUAUAUUUAGUGGCUAUUAGCCUAUUCAAGUUUUUUUUAUGUUUUACUAAUUUUGUCACUUUACAUUUUUAAAUCAUUUGCCCAUUUCAUUUGGCUUUCUAAUGUAUUAUCAAAUUAUUAUACUAGUCACAACUUGAUGUUUCAUUAUGUCUUUUAUAUCUUUUGUUAUUUCAUCUACUAAUACUUCAUUCUGUGUUUUGUUUAUAUAUACAUUCUUACUAAUGAUCAAUCUGUUCAAAUGCAUGUCUGGCCCACUAAUCUUUUUGAAAAAUAACUUUCAGUUGUGGAAAUUACCUCUCUGUUUUCCAUUUCCUUUUAGUGGCAUUAUCUUUAUUAUUCCCUUAUUUCAUGUUUUGUUCUUUGUCUAUGUUGUGGUUCUUUUUCUAUCUCCUUUAUUUGAAGGUUUAGAUAAUUAAUACUCUUUUUUUCUAUCUAAACAUUGUUUUCAAACCAUAUAUUUACCUUUAGUUAUUGCUAUAGUAGCUUUGAAUUAUCUUCUUGAAUGCCAGGUAAACAUUCUAUAAUGGUACAUCAUACUUUCUUAGAUCCACUUGCUGCAUUGAUCUAGUAUUCUUUAUUUCUUUCAAAUACUUGUCCACUCACAGGGAAAAAUUGCUCAAUAACUUGAACUUACAUAAUUUAUUCAUUUCACCCCAGAUUCCUGUUGAAGGAAAAUAUUCUGGUUUCUUUCCAAAGUGGUGAUUUUUUUUUAGCAAUUUGACACCAUUAUUCUCAAAAAGUGAGGAAGAAAACAUAAUUAUUAAGAAUUGAGAAAAGUUUUAAAAAGUAAAAUCAAGUGAAAGAGAUACAUCCUCUUCAAAGGGCAAGAGCAAACU
rnacentral:lncRNA from 1 species